UUUAUAUAUCUACACGUAAAGAUUAAAAUACUAUAAUCUUAGGAAAUUGGUAGGGAGUUCAUAGAUAGCUGCUGCUAUGAUUUUAUGAUCGUGGUUUUGUGCAAAACAAUUGGAUAGAUCCCAACACAACAAGUUCGUUGUUUCAACUUAGAGUUCGUUAAAUCCGGGAUUUAUUUAAAGGAAAGCAAAGUGGAAGAAGAUUAUUUUUUUGCCAUAUUAGGCUAAAAGGGCGACGAGGCGAAAAGGAUUCAUGAAUAGUCACUGACAGGUACAGACGACUGAUUUACCGAUCCGCCCGCUUAGGAUUCUAUUCUGCUGUCUUGGAGUGCUCGGUUGUCCGGAGCCUGCGUCUUGGUACAGUCUUUUGCCAUUGUACAUAUGUAUGUGGUGUCACACCCCUUUUUAACCGGGUCGAAAUAGGAGUAUGACAUAUUGAUGAUUCCUGUUUAUUUUUAUUUAAGGAGUCGCCACCUAAUUAAUUUUUAAGGUGAAUUAGGACACCUAGAGGUUAACUAAGGCAAAGUUAAAACUGAACCUCAAUUAAUAGUCUGCUUAACCAGUGUGAUUCUAGGUAAGGGCUCUAUAUUAUCCUAAAGGGAAGAGAUUAGGCACCCUUUAGGAUCCGUUAACUUACGGUUAUCCGACCAAACUUAGGUUAAUUAAUGAAGGUGAGAAUUUGUAUAAAAGAGGACUUUGAAUGCCAUUUUAAAUAAAACUUGUAAAUCUUCACUAAGGCUUUAAAUAAAAUGCGAUUUAGCAAUAAAACUUAUAAAAAGAUAGUUUGCAUAAAAGAAGAUUUUUAAAAUAAAACUUAAAAGGUUACUAAAACCUUAUAUGAAGGUAUAGUAAAUGCCAUUCAAGAUAAAACUUGUAGGAAAUAUGAUAAUUUACCUAUAAAUAAUAAUUUUUGAGAAGAGAUUUAGCAAUUUUGAUCUUUGGAUAAAUUAUGUAUAUGAAUAUAGCAAUGUAGAAAACUCUAGGCUUAUGAAUAGAAUUCAAGAGGAAGUAAGUUUUAUUUUUCCUUUUUAUUAUUUCUCAUUAUCUAUGCUUAGCUAAAAUAUGCACGAUUGAUUCAAACUUGAAGAGUUAUUUAUAAAAUAUACUUGAGUUUAUACCUGCAUAUUAAUGACGUUUCGAAGUGUUUAGGAUAAAAAUGAAAUAUGAGUCUCUUAACUCAAAAUAUAGUCAUGCUAUUUUUGCAAAUCAAUUAUUCCAAAUAAAAUAAUAUUAGACGUUAUAAAUAAUUUUAACAUAAAAAAGAAGAGAAUAAACUUAUGGAAUUGAUUGUUAGUCUUUCUUAAACUAACUACCCGUUGCUAAAACUAAACCUACUAAUUCAUUGGGAUUUAUCUAAACUGAGAAAAACAAAAACAAACAAGAAGGUUAGUUGCAUAAUACAAGUGAAAUGCACAAAAUGAAUAGAAGAGUAGAUAAUUUAAAUGGGCUCAGCCCAUUUUUUUUUUAAAAAGAAGUGCUGCAAUCGGGGCUGCUGUUGGGUUUUGGCCCAAUAAUAAUUUAUAUGCUGCUGCGGACGUUGCUGGACAUGGAAGAUGACCCAAGGAGCUUAUGUUGGGCUUUUAGCCCAACGCCAAAUGCGGAAGAAGACGAGUCCGAAGGACUCGCAUGCGAUGGUCAUGCAUAAAAACGAAAGGAAAAGGAUUAGAAACAAUUCUCAACAAGGAAAGAGAAGUCUAUAUAACCCUAAUUAUUAAAAGCUAGAUAAAAGAAUCAAAUGUAAAAAAUAACAUAUAAGGCAAAAAUAAUUUAGAAAAGAAUCAAAUGUAAAAAAUAACAUAUAAGGCAAAAAUAAUUUAGCAUAUUAAUUGCACCCGAAUUUGAGUAUAGCAGCCCCACUCUCUUUUUACGCAAGUUUUAGGUGUUCAAAUCAGUUUAAUAUUAAAGCGUAGCAGCGACAUAUUUUCAGCGAAGCAACAAUAGCCCAUCCAAUACCAUCCUUGACAAGGUAGUGACUUGGUCAUAAAUGGACAGUAUGUAUUUUUUUUUUUCAAACUUGAAGUGCCUCGAAUCAGCAAACAUUACAAUAUCAGUAGUAGCAACAGAUAGCUAUAGCAUGUAGCAACAGGAUGACAAUAUUUCAGGGAUGUAGUAGAUCAUCGACAAAUAAUGCAGUAACUAUUCGCCGUGAAGUACUCAUGAAUGCAACUCAUUUAACCCUUUAAGGUGCAGCAAUAGUUCAUCAGAUAGCAGCUCAAAUGCAACGUCUAUUUGCCACAUAUCGUAGCAGCACUUCAGCUCAAAAUGAAGCACCUGCUUGCCUUGAAAUGCCUCAGCAAUUCGGCUCAGGGUGCGGCAUUUGCUUUCUUCGAAGUGCAGCUACAACUUAGCUUAAGAUGCAACAACUAUUUAACAUUAAUUUUGCAACAACACAAAGCCAAAACCAGCAAUUAUUUGCCUUCACGAUUGUCGCAAAAUGCCACAUAUUUCAGCUCAAAACUGUAGUAACAUUUCAGUCAAGAUACCUUCAGUGAAACACUCCAAAAAGAGGUGUAAAUGACCAAGAUUUCAGCAGCUGUUUACAGCGAACCUAACAGCCAAGUAGCAGCUCAAAAGUGCAGCCAUUUGGAUUCAAAGAUGGCAUCUUUCAGUCUCAAAAUGCAGCAUUUAACUUAGUCGCAUAACUCAACUCAAAUUAAUUAAUAUUUAGGCCAACAAUCUGCCCUUGAAGGGCAGCGGUAAAUGGAAAGAAAGCAGUGACAAAAUGGCCAAAAAAAUUGCAGCAAAGUCUUGGCCAAAAUAAAUCCGUAGAAUGGCCAAAGCAGCAACCCAAAAAGAAAGUUCAACCUCAAAAAUCAUUUCAACAAACAAGCUACACUUAAUCCGAUCUUGAGCCCUUAAAAGAUCAUUUUUUUUUUGUAUGCCACUUCUUUUAGCAACCAAACCCAGAUUAAUCUAAAGAUACUAGUUAACACAUAAGCAUAAGUACAAUACUAUGGCAUACAUAUAUGGCCUCAACCCAUUUUUCUUACAUAAAUUUAAAUGACACAAGUUUGUAGGAAACUUGCUUAAUCACACCAGUUGAGUCAACAGCGCUAUCAUAUUUAUCUAAGACUGUUUAGGCUAUAAAUGGUAUCUAAGUCAUGAUUAUUCAAGUGCAUUAGCAUACUUAGUUUGUUCGAUCCAAAUCACAACAUUAUAUCAAUUAGCAUAUUUAGACUUAUAGACUAACAUCAGGAAAGUGUAAAAAUGCAUCACUGAUUAAUACCAUAUGCAAGACGUACUUUAUCCUGAAAUAAAUUAUUGAAGAAUCACGGCAAAAUAUGAACAGUUCAAACAACAUAUAGGAACAAAAUAAUACUUUAGACUAUCAUUGAUGUACCACAUACCGCAAAAGAAACUAAAUAAGUGCACAGGCAUUGGUGGAUCAUUUGAUUAUGAGGUAUUUUGUAUGCUUAACUUCAGAUUGGCAUAAAGGAAUGGAUAUAGAAUGCUUUGUCAAGAGACUAAUGCAUAUUUUCUUUAUAUAAAGCAACUCAAGGCACUUUCUAUACCAGAUUGGGUGAACGCAAGCUUUAGUAAUCGUACUGGAGUUUUAAAUACUACUUCAGAUCCAUUUUAUAUGUAAAGGCUUCAUGCAACUGAUUGAAACCUUUUCAACCUGUUUGUCAGAUCUAAACCCCUCACGAACCCCUUAA